GUCUUUGUCGCGCGGCCGCUCGUCUCCGGCUGCGAGGCCUGGGGCGAGUGCUCUUGGGGGAGAUAGACAGUUAUAGAUAGAUGGACAGCGAUAGACAGAGAUAUACAGAUAGUCUGCGCACACACAGGAAAGAUGUCUUCAAGCACACUCAAAGAUACUCACACGCACACUCAGACGUGUGUUACUGCUGGCUCGAAAACGACAGAUCGUCUUGAGAGGUCAAAUGCGGGUGUCGUCGUGGCACACGUGGUUGCGCGCAAAAGGAGGAUGCGACGGCGCUACCAGACGUAGGAGAGCUCUAAUCCUAUUUAGAAAGGACGCGCUCCGUGGCCGUCAGUUGUGGAACGUAAGCAGUAGAGGAAACAUUCACGUGGAUUGGUGUAGUGGUACUUAACUGUAACAUCGCUUCAAAAUGUAAGUUUUAAUUAUAUCAGUGUCUAAGUGAGUCGUCCGAAUGUAUGGCAUGUUUUAAAGUAGUGGAAACCAUUAAACAUGUCAGACCACCUUUAAAAUGAUCGAUUUCCGACGUCUGUUUCUCACAUAAGUCCUUGCCAUCCAAGAUAUUUUUUUCGUAUGCGAUAGGGAUAUGUAUGGGCGAAGUUAUCAUAUAGAAGGAGGUGUUCGCCCCGGAGUUCAGUUUACAUGAUCCCGAAUAAAAUAUUUUGGGACUAUUCGAAGUGUCCCUGGGUUGCCAAGUGCACUUGUUACCAACCUCAUUAUAAUACAGUGUUGUUCUGUAUUUGUUUAUUCGACAGAAGAAAAGUCUUGUUUAAGUGCAGUGAUCAAUGAGUUACCAGUGAUGGUAGUGGUUACAAGAAGACGAAGAAGAACGAGAAAUAUUAAUUUGACAUGAAAGAUAUCGACAUGUAAGGCGUACAGAUAAAGCACAUGAUUAUAUAUUUUUUCGUGGAAUAAAAGCUAAUAAUAUAUAUAUUUCCUUUUUGUUUGUCCUUUGUAUUUCGAUAGGUUCUUAACAAAACGUAUGAAACAAUGAAACUGCGCAAACUAUUUCAAGGUUUGACGCUUUUUUUUAUUGUCAUUUAUAUGAUUAAACGAAACAGUGUUUGCCAGUUAUUAAAAUAAAUUUGUUCAGUUUACGAAUUUAAGAAACGGGUGAGCCAGUCAGUC